GCGGCCACCUGGUAGCGCCUUGGCGUGGGGACCCAAGGCGCGUGGGUUCGAAACCCGCAGGGGACAACAUUACAUCCGGAGCCAACUUCUCAGCUCCUAAAACAAUGAGAUGUGAACUUGCCAAGUAGGUACCUUCGGGCGGACCUACUACCUGAUUUAGCUGAUUUUUCCUGGGCUGGGAACCUGUAUUGCAUGUACCAAUCCUGUCUUUCAUUAAUUUUCCUAUGUUCCUGUUAUAUUCUUGGCGUCGUUCAACACUAAG
rnacentral:sRNA from 1 species